rnacentral:rRNA from 5 species
AGACCCGAAACCCGGUGAUCUAGCCAUGGGCAGGUUGAAGGUUGGGUAACACUAACUGGAGGACCGAACCGACUAAUGUUGAAAAAUUAGCGGAUGACCUGUGGCUGGGGGUGAAAGGCCAAUCAAACCGGGAGAUAGCUGGUUCUCCCCGAAAGCUAUUUAGGUAGCGCCUCGUGAAUUCAUCUCCGGGGGUAGAGCACUGUUUCGGCUAGGGGGCCAUCCCGGCUUACCAACCCGAUGCAAACUGCGAAUACCGGAGAAUGUUAUCACGGGAGACACACGGCGGGUGCUAACGUCCGUCGUGAAGAGGGAAACAACCCAGACCGCCAGCUAAGGUCCCAAAGUCAUGGUUAAGUGGGAAACGAUGUGGGAAGGCCCAGACAGCCAGGAUGUUGGCUUAGAAGCAGCCAUCAUUUAAAGAAAGCGUAAUAGCUCACUGGUCGAGUCGGCCUGCGCGGAAGAUGUAACGGGGCUAAACCAUGCACCGAAGCUGCGGCAGCGAACGUAUCACUUAAAGCGAUUCAGCGGGUUACGAUUGACGGAGCGAAGCGACGUCAAAGCGUAUACAAAGUCGAGUCGGUUUAAGGAUACGUUCGUUGGGUAGGGGAGCGUUCUGUAAGCCUGUGAAGGUGGCCUGUGAGGGUUGCUGGAGGUAUCAGAAGUGCGAAUGCUGACAUAAGUAACGAUAAAGCGGGUGAAAAGCCCGCUCGCCGGAAGACCAAGGGUUCCUGUCCAACGUUAAUCGGGGCAGGGUGAGUCGACCCCUAAGGCGAGGCCGAAAGGCGUAGUCGAUGGGAAACGGGUUAAUAUUCCCGUACUUGGUGUUACUGCGAAGGGGGGACGGAGAAGGCUAUGUUGGCCGGGCGACGGUUGUCCCGGUUUAAGCGUGUAGGUGUGUGUUCCAGGUAAAUCCGGUUCACUUUAACACUGAGGCGUGAUGACGAGGCACUACGGUGCUGAAGCAACAAAUGCCCUGCUUCCAGGAAAAGCCUCUAAGCAUCAGGUAACAUCAAAUCGUACCCCAAACCGACACAGGUGGUCAGGUAGAGAAUACCAAGGCGCUUGAGAGAACUCGGGUGAAGGAACUAGGCAAAAUGGUGCCGUAACUUCGGGAGAAGGCACGCUGACACGUAGGUGAAGUGAUUUACUCAUGGAGCUGAAGUCAGUCGAAGAUACCAGCUGGCUGCAACUGUUUAUUAAAAACACAGCACUGUGCAAACACGAAAGUGGACGUAUACGGUGUGACGCCUGCCCGGUGCCGGAAGGUUAAUUGAUGGGGUCAGCGCAAGCGAAGCUCCUGAUCGAAGCCCCGGUAAACGGCGGCCGUAACUAUAACGGUCCUAAGGUAGCGAAAUUCCUUGUCGGGUAAGUUCCGACCUGCACGAAUGGCGUAAUGAUGGCCAGGCUGUCUCCACCCGAGACUCAGUGAAAUUGAACUCGCUGUGAAGAUGCAGUGUACCCGCGGCAAGACGGAAAGACCCCGUGAACCUUUACUAUAGCUUGACACUGAACAUUGAGCCUUGAUGUGUAGGAUAGGUGGGAGGCUUUGAAGUGUGGACGCCAGUCUGCAUGGAGCCGACCUUGAAAUACCACCCUUUAAUGUUUGAUGUUCUAACGUGGACCCGUAAUCCGGGUUGCGGACAGUGUCUGGUGGGUAGUUUGACUGGGGCGGUCUCCUCCUAAAGAGUAACGGAGGAGCACGAAGGUUGGCUAAUCCUGGUCGGACAUCAGGAGGUUAGUGCAAUGGCAUAAGCCAGCUUGACUGCGAGCGUGACGGCGCGAGCAGGUGCGAAAGCAGGUCAUAGUGAUCCGGUGGUUCUGAAUGGAAGGGCCAUCGCUCAACGGAUAAAAGGUACUCCGGGGAUAACAGGCUGAUACCGCCCAAGAGUUCAUAUCGACGGCGGUGUUUGGCACCUCGAUGUCGGCUCAUCACAUCCUGGGGCUGAAGUAGGUCCCAAGGGUAUGGCUGUUCGCCAUUUAAAGUGGUACGCGAGCUGGGUUUAGAACGUCGUGAGACAGUUCGGUCCCUAUCUGCCGUGGGCGCUGGAGAACUGAGGGGGGCUGCUCCUAGUACGAGAGGACCGGAGUGGACGCAUCACUGGUGUUCGGGUUGUCAUGCCAAUGGCACUGCCCGGUAGCUAAAUGCGGAAGAGAUAAGUGCUGAAAGCAUCUAAGCACGAAACUUGCCCCGA